rnacentral:tRNA from 11 species
GAUUCCGUAGCUCAGCUGGGAGAGCGCUACCUUGACAGGGUAGAGGUCGCUGGUUCGAGCCCAGUCGGAAUCAUCA